rnacentral:rRNA from 1 species
GACGUAGGGCGCGAGCGUUGUCCGGAUUUACUGGGCGUAAAGCGCACGUAGGCGGAUCGUUAAGUUGGGGGUGAAAUCCUGGAGCUCAACUCCAGAACUGCCUUCAAUACUGGCGAUCUAGAGUCCGGAAGAGGUGAGUGGAACUCCUAGUGUAGAGGUGGAAUUCGUAGAUAUUCGCAAGAACACCAGUGGCGAAGGCGGACUCACUGGCCCGGUACUGACGCUGAGGUGCGAAAGCGUGGGGAGCAAAGCAGGGAUUA